GAUGAACGCUGGCGGCGUGCUUAAUACAUGCAAGUCGAGCGGAAAGACCAGGAGCUUGCGCCGCGCACGAUAGGGGAGGACGGGAGAGAAACACGUGGAUACCCCACCUAUAAGAGUGAGAUCAUCACGGGAAACCGGAGAUUAUACCGGAGGAUCUCUUGCACCGCGGGGGUGGAUGGAGAAAGACGGCGUUGGGGGAACUACUAGAUGGAUACGCGCUGGAUGAGCUGGUUGGUGAGGUAACGGCUUACCACGGCAACGAGGCGUAGCCGACCGGAUAGCGGGAUCGCCCACACGGGAACGUAGACACGGACCAUGCUCCUACGGGAGGCAGCAGUCUGGAAUCGUCCGCAAUGGGCGAAAGCCUGACGGAGCGACGCCGCGUGAGUGAUGAAGAUCUUCGGAUCGUAAAACUCUGUUAUGAGGGAUGAACAAAUGUGUAAGUAACUAUGCACUUCUUGACGGUACCUGAUCAGAAAGCCCCGGCUAACUACGUG
rnacentral:rRNA from 1 species